GGGGAACCGCGAAGAACCUUACCUGGCCUUGACAUGUCCGGAAUCCUGCAGAGAUGCGGGAGUGGCCUUCGGGAAUCGGAACACAGGUGCUGCAUGGGUUGUCAGCUCGUGUCGUGAGAUGUUGGGUUAAGUCCCGCAACGAGCGCAACCCUUGUCCCUAGUUGCCAGCACGUAAUGGUGGGAACUCUUAGGGAGACCGCCGGAUAACAAACCGGAGGAAGGUGGGGAUGACGUCAAGUCAUCAUGGCCCUUACGCCAGGGCUACACACGUACUACAAUGGUCGGUACAGAGGGUUGCGAACCCGCGAGGUGGAGCCAAUCCCGGAAAGCCGAUCUCAGUCCGGAUCGGAGUCUGCAACUCGACUCCGUGAAGUCGGAAUCGCUAGUAAUCGCGAGUCACCCAUUGUCGCGGUGAAUACGUUCCCGGGUCUUGUACACACCG
rnacentral:rRNA from 1 species